AACGAACGCUGGCGGCAGGCCUAACACAUGCAAGUCGAGCGCGCCCUUCGGGGUGAGCGGCGGACGGGUGAGUAACGCGUGGGAACGUGCCCUUCUCUGCGGAAUAGCCUCGGGAAACUGAGAGUAAUACCGCAUACGCCCUUUGGGGGAAAGAUUUAUCGGAGAAGGAUCGGCCCGCGUUGGAUUAGGUAGUUGGUGGGGUAAUGGCCCACCAAGCCGACGAUCCAUAGCUGGUUUGAGAGGAUGAUCAGCCACACUGGGACUGAGACACGGCCCAGACUCCUACGGGAGGCAGCAGUGGGGAAUCUUAGACAAUGGGGGCAACCCUGAUCUAGCCAUGCCGCGUGAGUGAUGAAGGCCAUAGGGUUGUAAAGCUCUUUCAGCUGGGAAGAUAAUGACGGUACCAGCAGAAGAAGCCCCGGCUAACUCCGUG
rnacentral:rRNA from 1 species